AGGGCGCACGGUGGAUGCCUUGACACUAGGAGUCGAUGAAGGACGGGACUAACGCCGAUAUGCUUCGGGGAGCUGUAAGUAAGCUUUGAUCCGAAGAUUUCCGAAUGGGGAAACCCACCAUACGUAAUGGUAUGGUAUCCUUAUCUGAAUACAUAGGGUAAGGAAGACAGACCCAGGGAACUGAAACAUCUAAGUACCUGGAGGAAGAGAAAGCAAAUGCGAUUUCCUGAGUAGCGGCGAGCGAAACGGAACAUAGCCCAAACCAAGAGGCUUGCCUCUUGGGGUUGUAGGACAUUCUAUACGGAGUUACAAAGGAACGAGGUAGACGAAGCGACCUGGAAAGGUCCGUCGUAGAGGGUAACAACCCCGUAGUCGAAACUUCGUUCUCUCUUGAAUGUAUCCUGAGUACGGCGGAACACGUGAAAUUCCGUCGGAAUCUGGGAGGACCAUCUCCCAAGGCUAAAUACUCCCUAGUGAUCGAUAGUGAACCAGUACCGUGAGGGAAAGGUGAAAAGCACCCCGGAAGGGGAGUGAAAGAGAUCCUGAAACCGUGUGCCUACAAAUAGUCAGAGCCCGUUAACGGGUGAUGGCGUGCCUUUUGUAGAAUGAACCGGCGAGUUACGAUCCCGUGCGAGGUUAAGCUGAAGAGGCGGAGCCGCAGCGAAAGCGAGUCUGAAUAGGGCGUUUAGUACGUGGUCGUAGACCCGAAACCAGGUGAUCUACCCAUGUCCAGGGUGAAGUUCAGGUAACACUGAAUGGAGGCCCGAACCCACGCACGUUGAAAAGUGCGGGGAUGAGGUGUGGGUAGCGGAGAAAUUCCAAUCGAACCUGGAGAUAGCUGGUUCUCCCCGAAAUAGCUUUAGGGCUAGCCUUAAGUGUAAGAGUCUUGGAGGUAGAGCACUGAUUGGACUAGGGGUCCUCAUCGGAUUACCGAAUUCAGUCAAACUCCGAAUGCCAAUGACUUAUCCUUAGGAGUCAGACUGCGAGUGAUAAGAUCCGUAGUCAAAAGGGAAACAGCCCAGACCGCCAGCUAAGGUCCCAAAGUGUGUAUUAAGUGGAAAAGGAUGUGGAGUUGCUUAGACAACUAGGAUGUUGGCUUAGAAGCAGCCACCAUUUAAAGAGUGCGUAAUAGCUCACUAGUCGAGUGACUCUGCGCCGAAAAUGUACCGGGGCUAAAUACACCACCGAAGCUGCGGAUUGAUACCGAAUGGUAUCAGUGGUAGGGGAGCGUUCUAAGGACAGUGAAGUCAGACCGGAAGGACUGGUGGAGUGCUUAGAAGUGAGAAUGCCGGUAUGAGUAGCGAAAGACGGGUGAGAAUCCCGUCCACCGAAUGCCUAAGGUUUCCUGAGGAAGGCUCGUCCGCUCAGGGUUAGUCAGGACCUAAGCCGAGGCCGACAGGCGUAGGCGAUGGACAACAGGUUGAUAUUCCUGUACCACCUCUUUAUCGUUUGAGCAAUGGAGGGACGCAGAAGGAUAGAAGAAGCGUGCGAUUGGUUGUGCACGUCCAAGCAGUUAGGCUGAUAAGUAGGCAAAUCCGCUUAUCGUGAAGGCUGAGCUGUGAUGGGGAAGCUCCUUAUGGAGCGAAGUCUUUGAUUCCCCGCUGCCAAGAAAAGCUUCUAGCGAGAUAAAAGGUGCCUGUACCGCAAACCGACACAGGUAGGCGAGGAGAGAAUCCUAAGGUGUGCGAGAGAACUCUGGUUAAGGAACUCGGCAAAAUGACCCCGUAACUUCGGGAGAAGGGGUGCUUUCUUAACGGAAAGCCGCAGUGAAUAGGCCCAAGCGACUGUUUAGCAAAAACACAGCUCUCUGCGAAGCCGUAAGGCGAAGUAUAGGGGGUGACACCUGCCCGGUGCUGGAAGGUUAAGGAGAGGGGUUAGCGUAAGCGAAGCUCUGAACUGAAGCCCCAGUAAACGGCGGCCGUAACUAUAACGGUCCUAAGGUAGCGAAAUUCCUUGUCGGGUAAGUUCCGACCCGCACGAAAGGUGUAACGAUUUGGGCACUGUCUCAACCAGAGACUCGGUGAAAUUAUAGUACCUGUGAAGAUGCAGGUUACCCGCGACAGGACGGAAAGACCCCGUGGAGCUUUACUGUAGCCUGAUAUUGAAUUUUGGUACAGUUUGUACAGGAUAGGCGGGAGCCAUUGAAACCGGAGCGCUAGCUUCGGUGGAGGCGCUGGUGGGAUACCGCCCUGACUGUAUUGAAAUUCUAACCUACGGGUCUUAUCGACCCGGGAGACAGUGUCAGGUGGGCAGUUUGACUGGGGCGGUCGCCUCCUAAAGUGUAACGGAGGCGCCCAAAGGUUCCCUCAGAAUGGUUGGAAAUCAUUCGUAGAGUGCAAAGGCAUAAGGGAGCUUGACUGCGAGACCUACAAGUCGAGCAGGGACGAAAGUCGGGCUUAGUGAUCCGGUGGUUCCGCAUGGAAGGGCCAUCGCUCAACGGAUAAAAGCUACCCCGGGGAUAACAGGCUUAUCUCCCCCAAGAGUCCACAUCGACGGGGAGGUUUGGCACCUCGAUGUCGGCUCAUCGCAUCCUGGGGCUGUAGUCGGUCCCAAGGGUUGGGCUGUUCGCCCAUUAAAGCGGUACGCGAGCUGGGUUCAGAACGUCGUGAGACAGUUCGGUCCCUAUCCGUCGUGGGCGUAGGAAAUUUGAGAGGAGCUGUCCUUAGUACGAGAGGACCGGGAUGGACGCACCGCUGGUGUACCAGUUGUUCUGCCAAGGGCAUAGCUGGGUAGCUAUGUGCGGAAGGGAUAAGUGCUGAAAGCAUCUAAGCAUGAAGCCCCCCUCAAGAUGAGAUUUCCCAUAGCGUAAGCUAGU
rnacentral:rRNA from 2 species